rnacentral:rRNA from 1 species
AUUGAACGCUGGCGGCAUGCCUUACACAUGCAAGUCGAACGGUAACGCGGGGCAACCUGGCGACGAGUGGCGAACGGGUGAGUAAUGUAUCGGAACGUGCCCAGUUGUGGGGGAUAACUGCUCGAAAGAGCAGCUAAUACCGCAUACGUCCUGAGGGAGAAAGCGGGGGAUCUUCGGACCUCGCGCGAUUGGAGUGGCCGAUGUCAGAUUAGCUAGUUGGUGGGGUAAAGGCCUACCAAGGCAACGAUCUGUAGCUGGUCUGAGAGGAUGAUCAGCCACACUGGGACUGAGACACGGCCCAGACUCCUACGGGAGGCAGCAGUGGGGAAUUUUGGACAAUGGGGGCAACCCUGAUCCAGCCAUUCCGCGUGAGUGAAGAAGGCCUUCGGGUUGUAAAGCUCCUUCGGCAGGAACGAAACGGCGAGCUCUAACAUAGCUUGCUAAUGACGGUACCUGAAGAAGAAGCACCGGCUAACUACGUGCCAGCCGCCGCCGUAAAAC